rnacentral:rRNA from 1 species
CCUACGGGCGGCAGCAGUGGGGGAUAUUGCACAAUGGGGGAAACCCUGAUGCAGCGACGCCGCGUGUGGGAAGACGGUCCUCUGGAUUGUAAACCACUGUUCCCAGGGACGAAGAUGACGGUACCUGGGGAGGAAGCUCCGGCUAACGACGUGCCAGCAGCCGCGGUACUACGUAGGGAGCAAGCGGUGUCCGGAAUUACUGGGUGUAAAGGGAGCGUAGGCGGGAUGGCAAGUUGGGGGUUAAAUCUACCGGCUCAACUGGUAGGCGCACUCAAAACUGCUAUUCUUGAGUGAAGUAGAGGCAGGCGGAAUUCCUAGUGUAGCGGUGAAAUGCGUAGAUAUUAGGAGGAACACCAGUGGCGAAGGCGGCCUGCUGGGCUUUUACUGACGCUGAGGCUCGAAAGUGUGGGGAGCAAACAGGAUUAGAUACCCCAGUAGUC